AAACUUCAAUUUGGCGACUCCAUAAAAAGCUCUGUUUCACUAAUCUUUCUGUGUUUAUUUUUCUUAUACGUGACACAGAUUUUGGGACAGGGUUUCAUUUCUUACCAAAAAAGAUGGCCUUUUGCAGAGAUUUAACCUGUUUUUUACUCUUCUUGGCCAUUUUAAUGGCGGUUUCACCACCUUUUGUCCAAACUUCUCGUCCCUGUAAGUCUGUCUCUUUCUCUUUUAGUUAUGGUUUCUCUCUCUAAAUGUACAAACUAUUAUAAAAUGGUUCUUCUUCUUUUUUCCCCCUUUAAUUUUUCUCAGGUUUACAAGUAGAGACCAAAAUGGCAGAAAGCAUAGCUACACAGGUGGGUGGGUGGGGGUGUCAGGUGUGUGUGUGUGUAUAUAUAUAUAUAUAUAUAUAUAUAAAUACAAGUAUCAGCCAUUUUCUUGAGUUAAAAAAAACAUCUUUAAUUAUGUUAUAUUUCUUUUAUAUUUUAUUUUUUUUAUCUUGAACAUUGUAUUUUUCGUGGAGGGUUUGAAUUAUUUAUUAUUAAUUUACAUUUUUUUUUUGUGGAAAAAUGAAGGGAUUGAUGGAUAAGUUUGGAAAUGAAGAGUCAGGUUUUGGGACAGAGGAUUCAGCAAGGGAAGUGCCAACUGGAGCAGACCCUCUUCACCAUAAGAGCAAUCCCACAGGUCCUUGAUCAUUUUAGUUUCUUCCAGAGAAUAAGCAUAUAUAUAGAGACAGAGAAAGAUCAUCACUUGUUUAUUAAUUUCAAGAAUAUAUGGUGUCCCUAAUUGAUUGUCAAUUUAGCUAGCUUUGUUCAUAUCUUUAAUCUUUGGGUUCCUUUUUCUUUUUAAUCUUUUUUUUUUGGGUAAAAAUUAAACAGAUGGACUACUUUAUGGGGUUUUCAUUUUAGUGAUUUGUAAUCAAAAUUUGUCUGCAGUAAUUUUAAAGUUAUUGUUUUAUCCUUAUUUUUUUAAAAUUAACUUUUUCUCCUGAAUUUGAAUGUGGGAAAAGUUGAAGGUUGAAGGACAGAUAUAUGCUCCUGCUGGCUAGCUGGGACUUGGGAGGAGACUGGUUUCCUGAAAUUAGUCAUCCCUCAACAGGGUUAUGUUAUUCAAGGGCAUAGAGCUGAUUUAUCCCUACUUUAUUUCAAAAUAAAAGUCCCAAUUUAAGGAUUUGCUUAGUUAAUUGCCAACGUUUGCGACUUUUAGUUGUGGUAUUUGGUGUGUUUGUACUACUUUUUGUGUGGUACUUGCUUUAGUUUCGAAGCUGUGUUUAUGAGUUAAGCAAGUUACAUGAAAUAAGUUAUUUUUAGACAAACAAAAAUUUA
rnacentral:lncRNA from 1 species